GCCUUGAUGGAAUAAUCCUGGGCAGCUCAUGAGGGGAAAACGAAAAUUGGGGUGGAAUCUAGGGUUUAUUUUCCUUUUCUGAUCCCAAAACAUGCAAACAGGAGCUACAGAAACCCCAGCUCUGCAUCCAAAGAACCGGGCUGAGACGAUACUGGUGAUAUUUCCCAAAAAUCCCAUGCCAGGGCAAUCCCUCCCUCAGGAAAGGAGACUGGAAUGCCCUGUUGGACACAGCUGCCAUCUGAGCCACCUCCUGCUGUCCCUGCUGCCAUGUGCCAGCCCACGGACACAUCCCUACGUGCACAGGCACACGUGUUCUCAGCCCAGCCUAUCCCAAAUCCGCUCUGGGAUUGGAGCCGGAGCCAUAACAAUAUGGCAGUAAAAAAUAAUGAAAUGCCAUCAUAAAAAAAAAAGAUGUGGAAAAGCAAUUCUUUAUUUAUACCUUGGGAACUAGGAAUAAUACACCUGUUUCGUGGGGGUGGCUGGCACAAAGCUGGCAUUGCAGAGUGGUACUUAAUAAUUUUUUACCACACUUUAUAGGCUCUUUCCUGCAAUUAAUGCUAAAUAAAAUCAACAUUUCUCCAACUGGAGUUUCUGGCUCUCAUUAACUCCCUUUUGGCCAUUCAGCAUCUCCUUCCCUCUCAGUAUCUUUUCUUGUUUUGUGUUUCUCUUGUACAUUUUUCUUUGCUCUUCUCCUCUCGUGAGCUCUGCUGGCAGCUUCAAAGCACAGGAGCUGGUUUUAAUGGAAUUAGCUGAGAUUAGGUGCAGGAUCCUUCCUUCUCCAGGUGGAACAGAGGCUCCUACCAAGGGAAGGAUGAUUCCAGAGCCAUGAGAAGGGGAGGCAGCAGCUGGAAGGGCAACAAAGCAGCUUGAACCAUGAAAAAACCUAUGGAAAACCUGAUGGAUGGCCACGGAAGAGGAAGGCUGGAAAUUUAGACUCAUCCUCCCAGGAAGGAGAAACUUCCAAGAAUGAGAAGUUCUCAGUGGGGAAGUGUUGGUGCAGCUCUCAGCAGACGGGAAUCCUCUUCCCACAUUUUCCCUCCCUCCUCGAAAUUCCAGCUGAUUUCAAACGAUGGGAUUUCAACACUUGCCAGGGGAUGACAAUCCCUGCAGCAACACUGGCAACAGGAUUUGAGCAUCCUUGUGCUACCAGAGAGACGAUUCAGGAAUUGAGCAUCCUUUUGCCAUCAGGGAGACGAUAUUGGCUCAUUUGGGACUCUUGUGGUGGGAUUGCACUGAAUGAGAAUGAGCAGGGGGGUCAGGGAGGGUGCAAGACUGGCGAGGAAGAGCUGAGCUGGUGUGAAACGCUCCGAGCCGAUGCCAACUGCCAGCCCCGUGCCAGCAGCUCCUGUCAGGAGCAUCCCGGAUGCUGCAGCAGAUUUUCCAGGGUUUUUUUGCGGAUUGACCCAAUGUUCCUGUUGGCACAAAGCCAUGGAAGAGCAGCUAAAAGCGGCGCCGCUGAACAAUCCUGAUCUGCUCCAGAUUCGAGAGAGAAAGAAAAUCUGUGCACCCAGGAGAGGGGAAAAUGGGGAAUGAGCUCUGCCUGCAGAUCCGUGAGAGCACCUUCUAGUGGGGAAGGAACCUGGCAGCACCAGGAGGAGUUUCCCUGUCAUUCCUGGCCUGUGGUUUGGACUUGGUGGGAAAUCCGGGUGUGCACGUGCCUGGAAAAAUCCCAUUUUUUGACAAUUUAAAGCCCUGAGCAAACCCACAACCCAAACCAGGGGAGGCUCCGACUGUUCUUUGUCACCGCUCCAGCUGGAUGGAUUUUAUUUUUCAACAAUUCAUCCCGUUCCCAGUCGCUUUUGUUCCCUUCUGGCCUCGUCCUGCUCCCAGGUGGGAGAACGCUCCCAGCUUUUCCAGGCACGGGCUCCAGGGAUGGGAGCAGCCAAGCAAACAACGAACCAAGGCUGUUUAGGAAGGUUCAGCACGUGGAGAGGAGCCCAAGUUUUCCAUGUAAAGGCCUGAACGGGACAAGCGUGACGUGAA